rnacentral:rRNA from 1 species
UACGAAGGGGGCUAGCGUUGCUCGGAAUCACUGGGCGUAAAGGGUGCGUAGGCGGGUCUUUAAGUCAGGGGUGAAAUCCUGGAGCUCAACUCCAGAACUGCCUUUGAUACUGAGGAUCUUGAGUUCGGGAGGGGUGAGUGGAACUGCGAGUGUAGAGGUGAAAUUCGUAGAUAUUCGCAAGAACACCAGUGGCGAAGGCGGCUCACUGGCCCGAUACUGACGCUGAGGCACGAAAGCGCGGGGAGCGAACAGG